UCGGUUCGGACAUCGGUUUUUUCGGUUCGGUUAUUGGGUAUAAAUUAAAUUCCGGAUUAAACCGAUUUUUUUUCUAAUUCGGUUAAUUUGAACCAAAUAAACCACAAAUUAAAAAAAUGGACUUACAAAAAUGAAAUCUAAUAAAAAACAAACAACAGGCCCAAUACACAAAUAUACAGUUACAAUUACAAAUCCACAACACAAUUAUGGGUCAGGUCCAUUACAAAAUUAGGGUUUUGAGUUUUGACAAAAAAAAUAUGUACGACUACAACUCCAAACUGCGACGUCGAGCAGUGCCUCUCCAAUCUAGUGAUCUACCAUUCCGACGACGUAAUGCCCUACGAGACCUGUUAAACGCCCGUUUGUUAUCCAUGAAGUAAGAAAAAACAUGAGAUGGAAGUGUAAACCAUAAAAGAUCCAUAAAAAUAAUGGAUAAUCUCAGAUUUGGAAGUGUAAAGCCUAACUCUAAAAUUUCAGAAAUUAUAGAGACAGAGGAAGAGCUUAGAGAGCAAAGAAUCAAACAAAACAAAUGAUUAAAGAGAAAUAAGAAGAGUUUACCCUAAGAAAGUUGAGGUUGUGGGUUGAAUCUCUGAGCAAAGGUUUUUUGUAAGACCAACUGAGAUUAGAGAGAAUGAAAGAGGCUUGGAAGAUGAUGAAUUCAUGAAGGAGAAGAGACGAGUUGAUGAUUACUAAUUCAAUCGAAGAAAAAUAUCAAAGUUUCUUUGUUGUUUUCGCAAGAGGCAGAGAGCCAAAAACGAAGAAGAAACCUAAUUAGGUUAAGACUCAUCAAUUAACCUUAUAUAUGGCUGCAGAUUCUCGGUAUGGGUGAAACCGAUUGGU
rnacentral:lncRNA from 1 species